rnacentral:rRNA from 1 species
GACGAACGCUGGCGGCGUGCUUAACACAUGCAAGUCGAACGCUGAAGCUUGGUGCUUGCCCUGGGUGGAUGAGUGGCGAACGGGUGAGUAAUAAGUAAGUAACCUGCCCUUGACUCUGGGAUAAGCCUGGGAAACUGGGUCUAAUACUGGAUACGACAUGUCACCGCAUGGUGGUGUGUGGAAAGGGUUUUACUGGUUUUGGAUGGGCUCACGGCCUAUCAGCUUGUUGGUGGGGUAAUGGCUCACCAAGGCGACGACGGGUAGCCGGCCUGAGAGGGUGACCGGCCACACUGGGACUGAGACACGGCCCAGACUCCUACGGGAGGCAGCAGUGGGGAAUAUUGCACAAUGGGCGGAAGCCUGAUGCAGCGACGCCGCGUGAGGGAUGACGGCCUUCGGGUUGUAAACCUCUUUCAGCACGGAAGAAGCGAAAGUGACGGUACGUGCAGAAGAAGCGCCGGCUAACUACGUG